rnacentral:rRNA from 1 species
AUUGAACGCUGGCGGCAUGCCUUACACAUGCAAGUCGAACGGCAGCAUGAUCUAGCUUGCUAGAUUGAUGGCGAGUGGCGAACGGGUGAGUAAUACAUCGGAACAUGCCCUGUAGUGGGGGAUAACUAGUCGAAAGAUUAGCUAAUACCGCAUACGACCUGAGGGUGAAAGUGGGGGACCGCAAGGCCUCAUGCUAUAGGAGCGGCCGAUGUCUGAUUAGCUAGUUGGUGAGGUAAAGGCUCACCAAGGCGACGAUCAGUAGCUGGUCUGAGAGGACGAUCAGCCACACUGGGACUGAGACACGGCCCAGACUCCUACGGGAGGCAGCAGUGGGGAAUUUUGGACAAUGGGGGCAACCCUGAUCCAGCAAUGCCGCGUGUGUGAAGAAGGCCUUCGGGUUGUAAAGCACUUUUGUCCGGAAAGAAAUCACACUUACUAAUAUUAGGUGUGGAUGACGGUACCGGAAGAAUAAGGACCGGCUAACUACGUGCCAGCCGCCGCCGUAAAAC